ACGUAGGGUGCGAGCGUUAAUCGGAAUUACUGGGCGUAAAGCGUGCGCAGGCGGUUAUAUAAGACAGUUGUGAAAUCCCCGGGCUCAACCUGGGAAUUGCAUCUGUGACUGUAUAGCUAGAGUACGGUAGAGGGGGAUGGAAUUCCGCGUGUAGCAGUGAAAUGCGUAGAUAUGCGGAGGAACACCGAUGGCGAAGGCAAUCCCCUGGGCCUGCACUGACGCUCAUGCACGAAAGCGUGGGGAGCAAACAGG
rnacentral:rRNA from 1 species